ACGAACGCUGGCGGCGUGCUUAACACAUGCAAGUCGAACGGAAAGGCCCUGCUUUUGUGGGGUGCUCGAGUGGCGAACGGGUGAGUAACACGUGAGUAACCUGCCCUUGACUUUGGGAUAACUUCAGGAAACUGGGGCUAAUACCGGAUAGGAGCUCCUGCUACAUGGUGGGGGUUGGAAAGUUUCGGCGGUUGGGGAUGGACUCGCGGCUUAUCAGCUUGUUGGUGGGGUAGUGGCUUACCAAGGCUUUGACGGGUAGCCGGCCUGAGAGGGUGACCGGCCACAUUGGGACUGAGAUACGGCCCAGACUCCUACGUGAGGCAGCAGUGGGGAAUAUUGCACAAUGGGCGGAAGCCUGAUGCAGCAACGCCGCGUGCGGGGUGACGGCCUUCGGGUUGUAAACCGCUUUCGCCUGUGACGAAGCGUGAGUGACGGUAAUGGGUAAAGAAGCACCGGCUAACUACGUG
rnacentral:rRNA from 1 species